AGAAUGAACGCUGGCGGCAUGCCUAACACAUGCAAGUCGAACGAAACCUUCGGGUUUAGUGGCGCACGGGUGCGUAACGCGUGGGAAUCUACCCCUUGGUUCGGAAUAACAGUUGGAAACGACUGCUAAUACCGGAUGAUGACGUAAGUCCAAAGAUUUAUCGCCGAGGGAUGAGCCCGCGUAGGAUUAGGUAGUUGGUGUGGUAAAGGCGCACCAAGCCGACGAUCCUUAGCUGGUCUGAGAGGAUGAUCAGCCACACUGGGACUGAGACACGGCCCAGACUCCUACGGGAGGCAGCAGUGGGGAAUAUUGGACAAUGGGCGAAAGCCUGAUCCAGCAAUGCCGCGUGAGUGAUGAAGGCCUUAGGGUUGUAAAGCUCUUUUGUUGCGGGAAGAUAAUGACGGUACCGCAAGAAUAAGCCCGGCUAACUUCGUGCCAGCGCCGC
rnacentral:rRNA from 1 species